rnacentral:misc_RNA from 1 species
UUUCCGUAGGUGAACCUGCGGAAGGAUCAUUAAAUAGUACCACAGAUUACAUAUGCAAAUAUGACAAUCUACUACUAUAUACCAUUCCGAGUACUCUUUUUCCAUGUUGCUUCCGCAAGGCAGUCACUUCAAGUGGCCGUUUGCUCCGGAUCUCCCUUCUUGGAGAGCCGGCUGUGGGCGAGAUUUCCUUGCGAAAGGUCAAUUACAAAUCCAAUUAUGUUUUUAUUUUGUGUCUGAAUAGAUUUUUUUUUCUUUCUUUUUUUAAUUAAUAAAUACAAAAAAAAUAAAAUAAAAUACAAAACUUUCAACAACGGAUCUCUUGGUUCUC